UCCGGCUGGCCGAGGAUCCGGCGCGCCUGGCCGAACUGCCGCUCUGGCGGCGGAUGUCGGCCGGUCCGGACCCCCGGCUCGGCAGCCGGCCGCUGGACCC
rnacentral:tRNA from 1 species